rnacentral:rRNA from 1 species
CAGCCGCCACGGUAAUACGAAGGGUGCAAGCGUUAAUCGGAAUUACUGGGCGUAAAGCGUGCGUAGGCGGUUUGUUAAGUCUGUUGUGAAAUCCCCGGGCUCAACCUGGGAAUGGCAAUGGAUACUGGCUCGCUAGAGUGUGUCAGAGGAUGGUGGAAUUCCCGGUGUAGCGGUGAAAUGCGUAGAGAUCGGGAGGAACAUCAGUGGCGAAGGCGGCCAUCUGGGACAACACUGACGCUGAGGCACGAAAGCGUGGGGAGCAAACAGGAUUAGAUACCCCGGUAGUCCCUGUCUCUUAUAC